rnacentral:rRNA from 1 species
AUAAGCGGAGGAAAAGAAACUAACAAGGAUUCCCCUAGUAACGGCGAGUGAAGCGGGAUGAGCUCAAAUUUGUAAUCUGGUGGACUCAGUUCAUCCGAGUUGUAAUCUAUAGAAGUGUUUUCCGCGCUGGACCGUGUCUAAGUCCCUUGGAACAGGGUGUCAGAGAGGGUGAGAAUCCCGUGCUUGAUACGAUCACCAGUGCUAUGUGAUACACUUUCAACGAGUCGAGUUGUUUGGGAAUGCAGCUCAAAAUGGGUGGUAAAUUCCAUCUAAAGCUAAAUAUUGGCGAGAGACCGAUAGCGAACAAGUACCGUGAGGGAAAGAUGAAAAGCACUUUGGAAAGAGAGUUAAACAGUACGUGAAAUUGUUAAAAGGGAAACGAUUGAAGUCAGUCGUGCUCUCUGGGACUCAGCCGGUUCUUCCGGUGUACUUCCCAGUGAGCGGGUCAACAUCAGUUUAGAUCGCUGGAUAAAGGUAUUAGGAAGGUGGCUCCCUCGGGAGUGUUAUAGCCUAGUAUCGCAUACAGUGGUUUAGACUGAGGAACGCAGCUCGCCUUUAUGGCCGGGGUUCGCCCACGUCCGAGCUUAGGAUGAAGACAUAAUGGCUUUAAACGACCCGUC